rnacentral:misc_RNA from 1 species
GGCGGCACGUGCGAGGAUGCCAACAGAGGAUGCAGCGAAGAGGAGGGUGCACGUGCGAGGGACGCAACGAAGAGGAGGACACUGACCAAGGGAGGUAGCCAUGGGGAACAGGGAACCGAGCAGCGGGGCUGCUCGCGCCCUGCCCCAUCUCGACGUGCGGGAAAUGGGGCUCAGGUGCCGAGCGUCAUGGAUCCGAAGUUUGGCUGGCGACCUGGGAGAGGUAGUAGCAGUGGGAAGUCAGCUGGAGACCGCGGGUGUGCGUCUAGGGGCUUGUGCCCGCCGAGUAGGGAGCCAGACGGCCGGAGAGGAAGCAGAGAGAGGAAGAGCAGCGACUGUUGUAGAGGAAACAUGGAGAAGAAGAUGGGGGUGUCGGCUUCUUGAGGAGAGGGAUGAUGGCCAAGCUCUCCACCAGCGCCGACACCCCGGCCUCGGUGCGGCUCUCCGCAGCAGCGCAGGCGGCUACGAUCCAGCCCUCCUCCCCGCGCUUCUUCUGCUCCUCGCUGGCCGGGACCAACCCGGCCUCCCCGCAUCGCCAUUGCCUGGGGCUGGGCGCGAGCAGUAUGGGGUGGGUGAAGAGGGAGUGCGCGAGCACGGCGAAGGAGAGCGGGAAGACGAGGCAGGCGGUGAGCAGCGCGGAGUCGCGAG